UACGUAGGGGGCAAGCGUUGUCCGGAAUUAUUGGGCGUAAAGCGCGUGUAGGCGGCUCGGUAAGUCUGCUGUGAAAGUCCAGGGCUCAACCCUGGAAUGCCGGUGGAUACUGUCGAGCUCGAGUCCGGAAGAGGCGAGUGGAAUUCCUGGUGUAGCGGUGAAAUGCGCAGAUAUCAGGAGGAACACCAAUGGCGGAGGCAGGUCUCUGGGCCGUAACUGACGCUGAGAAGCGAAAGCAUGGGGAGCGAACAGG
rnacentral:rRNA from 1 species